GUCGGAGAUCGGAAAUGGUCGGAGCGGCAAGGCGGCCAAGCGGCCAAGCGGCCGGCCAGGCGGUCAGGCGGUCCGGAGGCCGGCGCCGAGGAAAAUGCCGAGGGAGGCCAGAGAGACGGCAGGACAGGUGUCCUGACAAAUAGAGCUACCUCUCAGAAUGACCUACCAACACGAUGUGCGCAUGUGCAGAGCGAAAAAAAUGUAAAAAAAAAUUUUUCAGAGGACACGCCCAUAAUUUUGAGCUACCCGGCGUGAUCUUCAUCUAUGGUGACGGUUGGAAGUGCGGUCUUUGACAGGUAAACGAAAUUUAAAAGUGUAGAUUAUAAUCUUAUCUCUAAAAUUAGCAAGAUAAAAAAUCGAAAAUGUCUUAUUUUUCAGGUGUAUCAAAUAGUUUAUGACAAGUAAACUAACUGUUUGGGUGCAUUGAAAUAACGUAUUAUAAGCAUGUUUUAGCUGCUGCAGAUGGAGCUAACGUUAAUUAGAAAUACUUUAUAUGCAGUUAACUAUUUUAUUUUAUUAUUAUUAUUAUUAUUUUGCUAGCUUUCUUACCGAGUUUUGCUAGUAUCUUGCACUCUUUGAUACUACAUUUAUAGAGGUAGUAGGUCAUUCUGAUGGAUAUUUGCUACCUGACAGAAUGUGCUACUCUGCUUAUAACCACAUUUAUAGAGGUAGUAGGUCAUUCUGAUGGAUAUUUGCUACCUGACAGAAUGUGCUACUCUACUUAUAACUACAUUUGUGGAGGUAGUAGGUCAUUCUGAUAGAUAUUUGCUACUUGACAGAAUGUGCUACUCUACUUAUAACUACAUUUGUGGAGGUAGUAGGUCAUUCUGAUAGAUAUUUGCUACCUGACAGAAUGUGCUACUCUACUUAUAACUACAUUUAUGGAGGGUCAUUCUGAUAGAUAUUUGCUACCUGACAGAAUGUGCUACUCUACUUAUAACUACAUUUGUGGAGGUAGUAGGUCAUUCUGAUAGAUAUUUGCUACCUGACAGAAUGUGCUACUCUACUUAUAACUACAUUUAUGGAGGUAGUAGGUCAUUCUGAUGGAUAUUUGCUACUUGACAGAAUGUGCUACUCUACUUAUAACUACAUUUGUGGAGGUAGUAGGUCAUUCUGAUAGAUAUUUGCUACUUGACAGAAUGUGCUACUCCACUCAUAGCCACAUUUAUAGAGGCUGUAUGUCUGCUUCUCACACAUAUCUGACCUGAAUCCUUACUAAACAGUGUUUUUUUGCUAGGGUAGGUCAUUUCCAGUGAGAAGCUUAGUUAAUCAGACUAGUCUGAUAGGAUGAGCUACUGGUAGCUCAUCCUGAGAGGGUAGCGCAACUUUUCAGAACACCGGCCAGAAGGGAGACGGGAGCGCACAGGUGGGAGGAAGGAGUUGGCGCGUGACACCCUCGCAAUGGAGAGGCGGACGGCACCGUGGGUCGGCUGGAGCGGCUAUAGUUGAUAGCAGCGGCCGGGACGGACAAGGGGUUUCCCCGGAGGACGCCAGCGAGUCGUCACGUUGUCGCCAACGCGAAAGUACUCCGGCCUGGGUCGUCAGCUCUGCUGCGACCCAGGAACUGUGUUGUUACAACGCGGUGAUCCGGUGGCAGAAGCAUGGCGCCAGGACCCACGAACGGGACUAGGGUCGGCCAAGGAUUACACGGCAGCUACCGAGGAACCUUAUGGACUUGUUGAGACUGUGGGUUGGGGAACAACCAUUGUAAAUAAAUUCCCUUUUUAUGGUA